rnacentral:lncRNA from 1 species
CCAAGUGCAAUAUUCAAACCACAAGCCCUGGCCACCUUACAGACCAGCUCAUUCGUUCCAUGUUUAAUGGAUGAAGUUACCAAGAUUCAGGCAAGGAGGGGAACUCAUGAAAUUCAUACCCAAGUUAGAAGUGUCCACAAUGGAACUGAAGUCUCCAGACCACAGGAGAAAAAGGCCUGCCACCACUGUCUGGAGAAGGUCAUAUCAUCUGGCUCGACAGUAAGGCUGCACGCAUGGAAGUUAGACCUUGAACUCAAAAAGACUUGCUUGCAUUCAAGACCUACAUCUACCCCAGCUCGGAAGAACACGGAUGACACAACAGUUGCAUUCCAGGACAAAUGUCCAUUCAAGAAACAUUCCUACUAUGCCAGAUUCUGA